rnacentral:rRNA from 1 species
GGGUUAGAUUAUACCAGCACUAAUGCACCGAAUCCCAUCAAAACUCCGCAGUUAAGCAUGCUUGGGCUAGAGUAGUACUAGGAUGGGUGGCCUCCUGGGAAGUCCUCAUGUUGCACCCC